GCCUCGUUGGUGUGGUGGUAGUAGCACGCAUAACCGGUAUGGAUGAAACGCGGGUUUGAUUCCCGCCUGAGGUU